UGCAGCUACUCUGCUUGCACAGUGGUGUAUGGGAACUUAGAGAUGGUCCUAGCUGAUAGCACUGGCUGGAGUCCAAACAGAAGUGAGGAUAUCCUACUUUGCUCUCUCUGACACUGUAAUUGAAUAUUUCUGGAAGACAGAAGCCUAUGCCCAAGAUCUCCAGCUAUACCGACUUCGUGGCAUCAUGAAAUAACCUGGAGGUCAGGAACUCAAUACGCAACAGUAUACAGUAAUAACACUGAGGAACUUCUAGCAAAGGCAUUCAAGUUAUGGAUUUAAGAAAAAGGAUCAUUUUCCUGAUAAUCUCUAGCUGUCACUACACUUCAGGUUGAUGCUGCAAAAGGGGCUUGGGAGUGCAGAAAGGAUUAAGAUUGAAAAAGAAAACUGGAUUUGGGUCCCAACUCCUAAUGUUGGUUGUCUGACUCUUCUGUUUCAGCAUCACUGAUUUUUCUGGUAAACAGCUAUUCCAUGGAAAAAUGAAGAGAAGCAGCAUUCCUGGAUGAGUAUAGAGAAUUUGGAAUCUGGAGUCUGGCAUCUGUAAUUGAUCAAACACUGGCAGGGGCAUAACUAUGCCUGAGUGAGUUCCAGGGAUAGAGCUGAGGGUCAGAAUGAGGAACUGGAGAACAUGUGGUUGUGGCUCUGUCUCUUUUACCUUCAGUCUGCUCUAAAGCUGACUUCUGGUGGCAGUGGGAGCAUGUGUGAGAAAAAUUACAGGAGUGAAUGUCUGGCAGUUCUGUAUCUAGGCUCUGCUUCAAAUCACGCACCAGAAAUAUAGCACACACCUAAAAACCGCUUACACAAAGGUCAGAACAACUUGCUUGAGUGGAUUUUGAGGUUUAAAAGCAGCCCAGUUGCUAAAAAAAUAAUUGGGCACAUCAGCCUCAAGUGCAGCUCCCUGCUACAUGUAUUUCAUUGCAAUGAGUGAAGCAGAUUACUUGGUAUAAGGAGUUCAAAGUUGGUUUGUGAACUCCGUGAACCUUUUGCAUGUCAAACAAAUUAUAUAUACAUCAAGGAGUCCAUCAAAUAUCCACAGACCAAGAUACUGUAGGGAUUUAUGUUAUGAUGUGCUCUCCGUAAUUCAGCAGAUUUUAAAACUAUAUGACUGUGUUAUGAAAAUCAAAUCCAUGCAAAUACAGGAAGCAAUGAGCAAAUGUGUGCUUACAAAAUGAAAUUAGCACAAAAUUACAGUCUUAUCACAAAAAUCUACUGAAGUUUUCAUCUCCUAGACCCAACUGCUGGAGUUGUUUCACUGAUGAAGAAAAGAGAUACUGCCCAAGUCAAGACAUUGUCCCUUCAUCUUCUGCUCCUGGGAGGGAAAGUAAUAUGCAAAACUUCUGUAGCAUGUCAGCAAGACCACUGGGCCAGAGUAGUAGCAAAACUGAGUUUGAGAUGCUCUAUGAAAUCUGAUGAAAUCAGAUGAAUACAGGUCAAGGAUUUCACCCUUCAACAGCACUUGGGUUCUAGAUUUUCAUGUUGGAUAGCUGGGAGCUGGAAGCAACACAGAGUUAUCUCCAAAGAUAACCCCAAUGCACAUUUCCAUUGAAUUCUUCCUGAUUUAGGAAGUCAUCUGUGCGCUUCUUCUUUGAGAACAGCACCAGUGUAAACAGUGAAAUCAGAAAAUUAACUUUCAGGAGGAAAGAACUCUCUGGUGGACAGAGGAGAGGUUAAUAACCUUCCUCUGUGAUGCACUUCUCUUGAGAGCUCUGCAUUAGCAGCUUGCUCUUGCAGUGCACAGUAAAGGCAAAAAUUAGGAGAGGUGCCAGGCAGUAAUGAUCUGAGCCAUUUGUGUGUCUGUUUUUCCAUUCAGCAGACCCUGAGAGCAGGGCUGAUCAGCAGAGCAGACCAGGAAAUGCUGCAUCACUGAGAUUAUUGAACUCAUUCUCUACAUAAUAUUGCCAGAUAAUCUGAUAUGUGCUGCUGAGUAAAAAUUCAAACGACAGCUCCCUGUGGAUGUAGGUAUUCAGAAAGACAUAUGAUUUUUGUUAGUUUUGAUCAAUGCUUUUGGACCAAAUAAAUUUGGUCCAAAUGAAUGAUUUGAAAUAUCUGGUAUCUGAAAUAGUCCACAAUUAAAAGAGAGAUUUGGUUCCCAAAUUUAUCCUGAAAACAUUCAACCGUCCUUUCUUCCUGAGAAUUUAAUUGUUUAUUUGCAUCUGAUGCUGCACAGGUAUUCAUGGUCUCCUUCUGUGAAGAAGGCAACACCACUCAAUUAAUUUAGUUUCUUCAACUGUUAAAACAUUUUCAAAAUCUAAAAGCAUGAUAUUUUACUUGCCAGCUGUGUUGCUGAAAGCUCUGUGGUUGUGCCAGGGCUUUCACUAACACAACUGGCAUGUAAAAUAUCAUGCUAUGGUGACACACGAGGUAGGGACCCCCAGUCCACAUUUUAUUCAGUGCUGUCCUCUACCUUGGGCCUUUGACACCGAAGGGAGAUUGGAGAAGGGGGCAAAUUAAUCUGUACCAUUGCUCCAUUGUGCAAGGAAGUACUAAAGUUUGCAAAACAUUUGUCCCUGUAUAUUACAAGAAUAGCACUGCAAUUAUUGAGUUCCCUUAUCUGCCAGUUAGUAUUACACACAUAAUUGUGUGCCUUCUCUGAUCAGGCACUUCUCCCUUUAGAUUUACAUGUUGGUCAUGGUUGAAGCCCAGGUCACGCUUUUGCCUAAUUCCUUGACUUCACUUUGUUUAUCCCCCUUUCUCAGUGUUGUAGUGGCAGGGAUGUAUACAAAGUAACCAAAAAAGAUGACUGCCUCAUCAAAGGAGGCAUAUUUCUACCACAUUUAGAUUUGAUAAAUGUUCCAUUUUAUCAAGUCUUAGAGGCCAAAUAAGACUACAGAAUCCACGUCCAAAGAGUUGCAGCUAGUAUUCAUCCCCUGGUACCUUCUCUUUUUGGGUAAACUCUGCCUAUGGAAGUGGAAUGUCAUUUUGUAAAAUAAAGUAUGAAUUUCUAGAAAUACCAGUAGCGUAUCAGUGGAGGGGAGAGGUCACACUGCAAGUCUCUGCACUGUCAGGGUGUGGGUCUCAUACCUCCUGGCUCUAAAGGACUGAGGAGCGGAAUGUUGGUUCUUGGACUUCAUGAAAGCAAAAGGUUGAUGAGCAUUCACCGACAUGGAGGGGAACAUCUGCUUUUGCAGGUUUUUAUCACAUCUGAAUCCAAAUACUCUGCAGCUACGGUUGUCCAAAAGGUUUAAAAAUAUCUGGUGAAGAAAAUCAUAGGCCUGACUCUCAGAGGUUGCAGCACUUGGCAGAACAGCAACAUUGAUGUUGUCAAAACUUUCUGCUUGAAGAAGCCAGAUACCCAUAGCACACCCAGCAGCAAAGGCUGCUCUGUGGGGGGAAAAGGGAGGGGAGGCACUGGAGAAUAAAGCCCCUGUUCCCUUCCUGGCACAAGCAGGUGCAGGAGGGGAAGCAGAAGGGAUGCAUCCCAGUGCCAAACUAAAACUUGAACUGAGGUUUAUUCCAUGUAAUUCAACAACAGUGUUUGAGUGUUGCCCACAUGUGUGUUGCUAAGAAAGAGUGGAGACACAUUCAGGGGACCACGGAAGGAAGAGAGCUUGUCUGCCUUUACAAAACACAACCCCUUUUUCCUCUGCUGUUUUGCAGCCAGGGGGAAAGAUGAGGAGGUUGGACAAUGCCAAAGGGAUCUGUAAUUUGCAGGUCUUCUACUGAAUGGCACACAAAGUGGAGCACAUCCUGACACAGAUUUUCUUUUUUCUGUCCCGCAGUUUGUUUUCCUUCCCUGAAUGUUAAAGCUAUGCAAUCAAUAGCUGAUGACAAGUGGGUUUAAUGUGUAAAGUAAGAGGAAUGUAAGUAGUAGUUAAAAAUUAACAGUUACAGACUGAAUUUUAUUCAUUUCAGAAACCACCUGGGACCAUUUGUUUUGCACUAAUAUAUACAAAGAUCUGGAACGUACCAUGUUAUUAUCCUGAUGAUGAUCAGUACAUGUACAAAUGUUCAUAUUUAGAGUAAAUCCAGUUAUGUCUGAAAGCCUUUCUGCUCUGUUUUAUGCAAUUAUUCAGUUUAGUCACGAAUCACAGACCUUCUAAUUAAGGCUCAAGGUCAGGCAAACUGAGAUAGAAGGUGAACAGACUUCUAGCUAAAAGCCUUUAAAGCCAUCAGUUGUUUACAGGAAUUCCCGUGCACUUUAACCAAAGAACUAGAUUGACAGAUCUAGUAUUAACAGACCAAAGUUAAUUCCCCUAAUUUCUCCUGCAUUCUUGCAGGCAGUUUCCUCUAACUGAGGAAUUAAAGGUCAUGCACCACCUACCUCCUGUGCUAGCCAGCCAUGCCUCACAAGCCCCAGGCUCCUGGGUGGGGGAAGUGACCAGAUGUAGCACAGUCAGUGUCUCCCAGAGCCAGCAGCUCUCUAGCACCUUGAUAUGCCCUUCAAAGUGACACAGUAUGUUUUCCUCAUUUCAUGUGACAGCACCGGUAAAAGUACACAAGCAAAAAGGGGAUAUUGCUGAGAAAUUCUGUGUUUCUUUAUUCAGUUUCAUGUUUGAAUUCCCAGUGAAUUUCAAAGGUCUGAGCUCCACCAUUUCUCGUAACUGGUGAUGUCCCAUAAUUCCUGCGCCUCCUUGGACUCUGCUAUGGCAGAUCUUCGGAGGAACCUUUUUCAUCCCAUCAUCUCCUGCAUUUGAGCAGAGCCCAGGGUCCCUUUGCCCUAUUCUGCAAUCUUCAAGAGCAGAACCUUCCUCUUCUGUUCACAGGUCUUUGGGCAAAGCAUCUUAAGCAACAUCAUUUUGCCCAUGGUGAGGCCUAAGGACUUUACCCUACAAAAGGCAGGAGCAACCACACAACGACCUCGUCCUGUCACAGUGGAAGAGCAUGUAGGAAAAUGUAGUAAUACCCUGAUAGAUGU